UACGUGAGGGGCAAGCGUUGUCCGGAAUCAUUGGGCGUAAAGCGCGUGUAGGCGGCCGAUAAGUCCGCUGUGAAAGUCCGAGGCUCCAACCCUGGAAUGCCGGUGGAUACUGUCGGGCUCGAGUCCGGAAGAGGCGAGUGGAAUUCCUGGUGUAGCGGUGAAUGACGCAGAUAUCAGGAGGAACACCAAUGGCGAAGGCAGCUCGCUGGGACGGUACUGACGCUGAGACGCGAAGCGUGGGGAGCAAACAGG
rnacentral:rRNA from 1 species